GACGAACGCUGGCGGCGUGCUUAACACAUGCAAGUCGAACGGUAAGGCCCUGCUUUUGUGGGGUGCUCGAGUGGCGAACGGGUGAGUAACACGUGAGUAACCUGCCCUUGACUUUGGGAUGACUUCAGGAAACUGGGGCUAAUACCGGAUAGGCGCUCCUCCUGGAUGGGGGGGGGUGGGAAGUGUCGUUGGUUGGGGAUGGACUGCCGGCUUCUCAGCUGGUUGGUGGGGGAGUGUCUUACCAAGGCUUUGCCGGGGAGCCGGCCUGCGGGGGUGACCGGCCACAUUGGGCCUGGACUACGGCCCGGACUCCUACGGGAGGCAGCAGUGGGGAGGAUUGCACCAUGGUCGGAAGCCGGAGGCAGCAACGCCGCGUGCGGGAUGACGGCCUUCGGUUUGGAAACCGCUUUAGCCGGUAACAAAGUGUGAGUGACGGUAAUGGGUAAAGAAGCACCGGCUAACUACGUG
rnacentral:rRNA from 1 species